AGCGAACGCUGGCGGCAGGCCUAACACAUGCAAGUCGAACGAACCUUUCGGGGUUAGUGGCGGACGGGUGAGUAACACGUGGGAACGUGCCUUUAGGUUCGGAAUAACUCAGGGAAACUUGUGCUAAUACCGAAUGUGCCCUUCGGGGGAAAGAUUAAUCGCCUUUAGAGCGGCCCGCGUCUGAUUAGCUAGUUGGUUGAGGUAAUGGCUCACCAAGGCGACGAUCAGUAGCUGGUCUGAGAGGAUGAUCAGCCACAUUGGGACUGAGACACGGCCCAAACUCCUACGGGAGGCAGCAGUGGGGAAUCUUGCGCAAUGGGCGAAAGCCUGACGCAGCCAUGCCGCGUGAAUGAUGAAGGUCUUAAGAUUGUAAAAUUCUUUCACCGGGGACGAUAAUGACGGUACCCGGAGAAGAAGCCCCGGCUAACUUCGUG
rnacentral:rRNA from 1 species